CUCUCUCCCUCUCUUCCACGACGCCUUGUCUCUCGAGCUUUCCUCGGCGACUCUGCAUGUGUUUCGACCGGAUGGCUCUCCUCGGCGUCUCCGUCGGUGGACUCUUCGUCACUCUUGCUCUCCUCCACGGGUCUGCGUCUCUCUAUCUCUCCUCGACGACUCCGCUUCUCCGCUUAUGAUAUCUCGGUGGCGAUCCUCGACGGCUCAUCGACGACUCUGCAUGUGUGGUUUUGAUCUCUCGGUGGCUCUCCUCGACGGCUCCGCGUCUCUCUAGCUCUCCUCGACGGCUCCGUGUCUCUCUAGCUCUCCUCGACGACUCCGCCUCUGCGCUUUUGAUCUCGCGGUGGCUCUGAUCGACGGCUCCUCGACAACUCCGCGUCAAGUGCCUUUUGAUCUCGCGGUGGCUCUCCUCGACGGCUCGUCGACGAAGAAAAGCAGAGACGUCUCUCUCCGUGGCUCUCCUCGGCGGAAUCAAAACGGCGAGUGUUGAUGAUUCGGCGGAAUCAAAGGGAUCAGGAGACAUGCUUGGAAGGUCUAAGCAGAGGACUACACCUAGCGAGAAGUUCCAAUUGCAAAACAGAGACCAAAUGAUUUGGUCAGGAACAAAAUACAUCUUCACUUACCAUCUUGGGAUUUGUUGGGCUCUCCCUCAUGUCCACACUAAUCAUGGUAUCGUUUUUGAGCCAGAAGGAAACUGUGGUGAUGGCUCAUCUUCCUCUAGCAACUCCCACGACAGGAAGAAUAUUGUGUCUAGCUGUUACCUCUGUAAGCUAAGAGAGAUACAUAAACUGGACAUUGGUGCUUUACUUGGGAUGAAUUUCUCUUCUCCUGCAGCUCAAGAAUACUGGAUUUUACUGUUAAUUAUUGUACAUGUAUACUGCAGCACGACUUUAUCGUGUGAACAAUACAAUAAGGAUGUCGUCAGAUUUUAUAAUUUUCGGUUUCUGUAGAAUUUGUCCUAAUUGACAGAGUGAGGUAUCUCUGAUAUGA